UACGGAGGGUGCAAGCGUUAAUCGGAAUUACUGGGCGUAAAGCGCGCGCAGGCGGUUCUUCAAGGCAGUGGUGAAAGCCCGGAGCUCAACUCCGGAAUUGCCAUUGAAACUGUAGAACUUGAGGAUGAGAGAGGUGAGUGGAAUUCCCAGUGUAGAGGUGAAAUUCGUAGAUAUUGGGAAGAACACCGGUGGCGAAGGCGACUUACUGGACACAUAUUGACGCUGCGGUGCGAAAGCGUGGGGAGCAAACAGG
rnacentral:rRNA from 1 species